rnacentral:rRNA from 1 species
AUUGAACGCUGGCGGAAUGCUUUACACAUGCAAGUCGAACGGCAGCACGGACUUCGGUCUGGUGGCGAGUGGCGAACGGGUGAGUAAUGUAUCGGAACGUGCCCAGUCGUGGGGGAUAACGUAGUGAAAAUUACGCUAAUACCGCAUACGAUCUAUGGAUGAAAGCGGGGGAUCGCAAGACCUCGCGCGAUUGGAGCGGCCGAUAUCAGAUUAGGUAGUUGGUGGGGUAAAGGCCCACCAAGCCAACGAUCUGUAGCUGGUCUGAGAGGACGACCAGCCAAACUGGAACUGAGACACGGUCCAGACUCCUACGGGAGGCAGCAGUGGGGAAUUUUGGACAAUGGACGCAAGUCUGAUCCAGCCAUUCCGCGUGCAGGAUGAAGGCCCUCGGGUUGUAAACUGCUUUUGUACAGAACGAAAAGGUUUCUACUAAUACUAGGAGCUCAUGACGGUACUGUAAGAAUAAGCACCGGCUAACUACGUGCCAGCAGCCGCCGUAA